AUUGAACGCUGGCGGCAGGCUUAACACAUGCAAGUCGAGCGAGCGGCGGACGGGUGAGUAAUGUCUGGGAAACUGCCUGAUGGAGGGGGCUAAAUACUGGAAACGGUAGCUAAUAACGCAUACCAUCAGAUGUGCCCAGAUGGGAUUAGCGAGUAGGUGGGGUAAUGGCUAACCAAGGCGACGCUCCCUAGCUGGUCUGAGAGGGUGAUCGGCCACACUGGGACUGAGACACGGCCCAGACUCCUACGGGAGGCAGCAGUAGGGAAUAUUGCACAAUGGGCGCAAGCCUGAUGCAGCCAUGCCGCGUGUGUGAAGAAGGCCUUCGGGUUGUAAAGCACUUUCAGCGAGGAGGCGUUACUCGCAGAAGAAGCACCGGCUAACUCCGUGCCAGCCGCCGCGGUAAUUC
rnacentral:rRNA from 1 species